UCUGGAGUUGGCCUGUGCAAGUGUACGAAACCGACAAACCGUGUCCCCGCGGACUUCCGGGGUUUAGUCAGCCUUCAAGUGGGCCAAUCUCCUGGGCCGGACCGCACCCGCCAAUUACAACGGGCGGGAUGCGCCGCGCGCGCGUGUCCGUCCGUCCGUCCAGGAGCAGCCCAGCCAGCAACAGCACGGCAGAAACAACCUGUACAGUACAGCCCAGCAGCAGCAAGGCGUACGGCGCGAUCCGGCGGC
rnacentral:lncRNA from 1 species